GACGAACGCUGGCGGCGUGCUUAACACAUGCAAGUCGAACGAAGAGCGAUGGAAGCUUGCUUCUAUCAAUCUUAGUGGCGAACGGGUGAGUAACGCGUAAUCAACCUGCCCUUCAGAGGGGGACAACAGUUGGAAACGACUGCUAAUACCGCAUACGAUCUAAUCUCGGCAUCGAGGAAAGAUGAAAGGUGGCCUCUAUUUAUAAGCUAUCACUGAAGGAGGGGAUUGCGUCUGAUUAGCUAGUUGGAGGGGUAACGGCCCACCAAGGCGAUGAUCAGUAGCCGGUCUGAGAGGAUGAACGGCCACAUUGGGACUGAGACACGGCCCAGACUCCUACGGGAGGCAGCAGUGGGGAAUAUUGCACAAUGGGCGGAAGCCUGAUGCAGCAACGCCGCGUGCGGGAUGACGGCCUUCGGGUUGUAAACCGCUUUCGCCUGUGACGAAGCGUGAGUGACGGUAAUGGGUAAAGAAGCACCGGCUAACUACGUG
rnacentral:rRNA from 1 species